rnacentral:sRNA from 2 species
UCAGGAGAUGGAUUGAUACACGUUCAGGCAAGGACGGGGGAACCAUAAAACGGCGAACUAAACAGUUCGCCUUGGGGUGAAGCCCGGUCUCGUAACGCACAAAUGCUCAAGUCGCAGGCAGUUGCUUGCGCCUGGGGCGCCCGUGUGCACAGGGCCCGGGCCGGAUCAAAAGUUGCACUCUCUGAUCCGAAUCCGACAGCUAACUCCGCAGGUGUCCCAAAGAGAGGUAUU